rnacentral:rRNA from 1 species
UGUUCGUUAUUUAGGGCGCAUGGUGGAUGCCUUGGCAUGCUGAGCCGAUGAAGGACGUGAAAGGCUGCGUUAAGCCUCGGGGAGUUGUCAAUUAAGCGUUGAUCCGAGGAUGUCCGAAUGGGGAAACCUGGCACUUGUUAUGGAGUGUUACCCUUCAGUGAAUUCAUAGCUGUUGUGGGGGUUGACGCGGGGAAGUGAAACAUCUCAGUACCCGUAGGAGAAGAAAAUAAUAAUGAUUCUGCUAGUAGUGGCGAACGAACGUGGA